CGCGGUUCUCCUUUGCCAACCUCCAGCACACCAGGUUUAUAAGUUAGAGCUGGCAUGACGAGUCUCUCUGGACGCUCACACUGCUCACGUGUGCACACACUCAGACCACACGAAGGCUCCUCUGAGGGCACUUGCCUUCUUCAGCUUACAGACAGCUCUGUCCCCAACGGGCCGAGCCCCCAGAAGCCUCACUUCCUGCACCAUCACGGCCGUGCACGCCUUGGGCUCUCCCUAACGGGCCAGGCCACCCUCCGCUCCCUGAAGAAGAUGUGGAAAAGGUGACAGACUGGGACUGGGCCCAGGGGUGAGGGGACGGAGCAGGGCUUCUGCCAGUCACAGAACAGUGACCGUCAGGGGUCAGGGUUUCCUCCAGGGAGCUGCCUGGGCGCUGGCCAGCUCUCCAGAAGGGAUAAGAGUCGGUGCAGUGACUUGGAUCUGGAGUGUCGCCCAAGAGCUCCUGUGUUGAGGGGCUGGUCUCCAGUGCAGCAGUAUUCAGAGAGGGGGCUCUCGGUGGGCUUGAGCCGGGGGUCUCACCGCAUCAGCGACAGAUCAGUGGUCUGACGGCGUGGCUGGGAGUGGCAGAAGCGGGAGGCCUGGUUGGAGAAGCACAUCACUGGGGUGACCUUGCCCCAGCCCCUUCCUCCUUCCUGUCUCCCCUGCCCCCUCUGCUUCCCAGCUGCCAUGAGCAGCCCCCUUCUUCUGCCACCGCGUGUGUGCCCGGAGCCAGCAACCAAGGACCUGUGGGGCCGGGAGCCAAAAGGACUCUCCCUCCUAAGUUGUCUUCCUCAGGUGUUCCGUCCCAGCCACGGAAAGCGGACAAGGACCCGGGGCUGGCGAGGCAGGCCCACGGCCCUGGGUCCCUCUCAGCAGGCAUGGGAUGGCCAUUGGGCAGUGAUCACAGCCAGCUUGCUGUCAACAGAAAUGGAGUGAACUUUGGUGUUUAAAGGCCAUUUGGAACGAAAACGACCACGUUUGAUCUAUUUGAUAGAAGGAGUAGGACAUAGGUAGAAAGGAGACACACAGGAAGGACAGGAAAGAGGAUUUCAAAUUCAGAGUUCCGCCUUCUUUUCCAGGCCGGUCACUCCCUAGGCCUGCCUCCCUCGCAGGCCCGCUACUCCCAGAUGCCUGGGCCACCUGUAGAUCUUCCUGUGCACUGUUGAUGAACUCCCAGUAAACCAGCUGGGCAAAGAGAGAGAGCCUUUCUAGAGGAACCUAUAAUUUAGGGGACUUUCCAGCACAGUAGACAUUGAUCAGAUCCUCCUGAGGACUGGACACUGUCCAGACCACCAAACUGUCUCACGAUCACUGGACGAUAACUUCCUACAGACCUUCCCACAGCACCCCUCACCACGCCCCCUGUAAAAGACGAGCUGGGAACCCCAAAUGCAUCUCUCACUCUGCCAGUGGCCCGCAGUGUCCCUUGAAUAGUCUCUAUUUUCCUAAAUAGACCCAUCUUGGCCUUCGACUGGAACUUGGUGGGAUUCUUUUCCAUCCAGCUGCCAAGCACCCAGCUGACCCGAGAGCCACUCUCUGCGAACUCCUCAGACCCUUCCUCGGAGACCCCCUUCUCCAGGACACAGUGAGCAUGCUGGUUCCCAGAGAAUGGUUUAGGUCAUGAGUCAUUCCGUGGUGCCACAAUUUCUCCUGCAGUUUCCUUGUUCCUUGGGAAAUGAUUAAAUAAAGAAGCCGUGU
rnacentral:lncRNA from 1 species